AGCGAACGCUGGCGGCAGGCCUAACACAUGCAAGUCGAACGAACUCUUCGGAGUUUGUGGCGGACGGGUGUGUCACCCGUGGGAACGUGCCCUUAGGUUCGGAAUACCUCAGGGAAACUUGAGCUAAUACCGGAUGUGCCCUUCGGGGGAAAGAUUUAUCGCCUUUAGAGGGGCACGCGUCUGAUUCGCUAGUUGGUGAGGUAAUGGCUCACUCCGGCGACGAUCAGUAGCUGGUUUGUGAGGAUGAUCAGCCACAUUGGGAUUGAGACACGGCCCAAACUCCUACGGGAGGCGGCAGAGCGGGAUCUUGCACAAUGGGCGGAAGCCUGACGCAGCCAUGCCGCGUGAAUGAUGAAAGUCUUAGGAUUGUAAAAUUCUUUCACCGGGGACGAUAAUGACGGUACCCGGAGAAAAAGCCCCGGCUAACUUCGUG
rnacentral:rRNA from 1 species